rnacentral:rRNA from 1 species
GAUCCUGACUCAGGAUGAACGCUAGCUACAGGCUUAACACAUGCAAGUCGAGGGGCAGCAUUCCAGUUUGCUUGCAAACUGGAGAUGGCGACCGGCGCACGGGUGAGUAACACGUAUCCAACCUGCCGAUAACUCGGGGAUAGCCUUUCGAAAGAAAGAUUAAUACCCGAUGGCAUAAUAGAACCGCAUGGUUUGAUUAUUAAAGAAUUUCGGUUAUCGAUGGGGAUGCGUUCCAUUAGGCAGG